rnacentral:misc_RNA from 1 species
GAAGUGCGAUAAGUAGUGUGAAUUGCAGAAUUCCGUGGAUCAUCGAAUUUUUGAACGCAAAUUGCACUUUCUGGUAUUCCGGAAAGUAUGCCUGUUUGAGGGUCAGUAAAAUAAAAAUCGAUUUGUUACCUUAUGGUGACAUAUCGGAAUUGAGCUACCUUAAAUUUUUUUUAGGUUUAAGAAGCUUAAAAUUGACCACUUUUUGGUAUGAUUUAAGCGUUGCUAAAAUUACGUUUAAUGAGUAUCGAUGUUUAUUAGGAAUGACCAUGGUCAUGGUUUCGUGCCCAUAAUUUUUUCAUGAAAUGACCUCAAAUCAGGUAGGAUUACCCGCUGAACUUAA